GGAGAUAACAGACUACACUCGUCGCCGACGCCCGUGCGACGGAACAUUAAAGGGAAUCCGCCGCGCCGUACCGCGGGGGGCUUGCCGCGUAAUAUCAUCGAAAACAUGUAAAUUACACGCGCGAACGACAACGUGUCGGUCACGUGGGUACCGUAUCGCCGUUAAAAUUUAAUCGGUAUCUCCCGGACGACGACGACGACGACGACGUUGACGUUAUUAUCGCGGCCGUCGUCGAAUCAAUACCGAACGGAAUUAUUGAACAGGUAGCUCGCCCGCGCCGGACGGAUUAUACGCGCCGCGUGCGUCUUAACGGGGUUCCAGUGCCCGUCGGCGCGCGCGCCGUGUGAACGACGCGUUUUACGAGACCGAACGCCGCGGCGACCCCCGCAGCGGGUACGGCCAUUGUAAACGUGUCGCGCCCGGUAUAACGCGCGCGUCGACCGCGAAAUCGCGAAACCGCGCGGGGUUUCCGCCGAAACGGCGCGUCCGGGGCCGGGCGAAACGGAAUCGCGCGUCCGAGGACCGGGCGUGACAACCGGGACGACACGUUCGAACGGAACGCGUCGCCGGGGAACGGGACGGUUGCGGUUUGACGAAAAAAAAAAACGUUUUGCGCGCGAACGCGUUAGUUACGGAAAACGGCCGGCCCGCCGUACGCCGGCACCGCGCACUUCGGCAACGGUAUUUGUUCCGGACACGGGGCCACCGUUAGAGACCCCGUGAUACAGCGGCAGGGCGGCCGGAUUAUGCGAAAGCGAACGCGCAGCGGCGUAGACGUUCUCGUUAUUUCCGACGAAACGAUUCGCUGUAAUGUUAAACUCGAGGUGGACAAUCGAUCCCGGCUGAAUAAUGUAAUUGUCGCAGCAGAAAAAAAAAAAAAACACAAAACAAAAUUUAAAAAUUGUCGCUUUAAAACACGAAAAAAUAGAAUAAUAAUUUUGUCCUACUUGGACGCCGAUAAAAGGCAUUUGGAUACAAAAUGGCGGACCCGCUCACUUACCACUCGGGCUCUCUCUGGGUACUAUUUUUCGCGAACGACUUUAAUCAGACGAUAACCGUGUCCGGUAUCCGGUCCGAACACAGUCUGUAAUAUGAAUUGCCCGCGUAAUUUUUUUCGAUAAGUCCGCUAAGGGAUACUAACAAUAUUGUUACGGUUACCGCCGUAGCGGCUACGCCGAGUCUAAAACGGUUUUUGGAAUGUUUAAAAAAGCCAUUGACUCGCAUUACAUAAAAAAUAAUCUUUAGUACCGAUUUGAUAAUAAUUUAACUCCCGAAAAGCGUUGUGUCGGUGUUUCAUUUUCCCGUUUAACGUUUUCCGUCAUAUCCGUGCGUUAUCACGAAAAAACAUUAUUUUUUUUUAACAGCGGCGUCGUAUUAUUCGCAAACAACAUUAUUCAUUUAAAAAUACGGCUUCUCAAAAAAAUUGAUUUCUGAAAAAAUAUUUUCCCGAGAAAUAAAGUUUCGUUCGAACAAUUUUUCGAUUCGUACGCCGCUUCCAAUAACAACAUUAAUGUCGGCGACCACCACCGGAAAAACAUCGCGGACGAUUUCAAAAUUCAAAAGUGUACAAAUAUAAACAAAUUCACUUUACGAUUGAUCAAAAUAAUUUAAAUGCGAGUAGUGAAAACACCGGUAAAUAAAUAUUGAAAUUUUCAAACUUUGAUCGAAUUUGAAUCUAAUAUAUAUUUGGUAUUAAGGAAGAAUGGCUUAAGUUAAUUGUUUUUGCGUUUUUUUUUUUUUUGUUAUUUGUUUUUAUAAAUGUCCAUGAUUCUCGACAAUUUUUUCGAAAUAUCCAUAAUUUCUAUUUUUUUUGAAAUUUUUAAACUUAAAUUAUUUCACCUAGUUGAUUCGCGCCUUGAGAACCAAUGAUACACGCCCUAGAAUAAAUUAUCGAAUAAGGGCAAUUAAAAGUAUCACUACCUUGACACAAUUUAUACAUCGAUUUGAACUCAUAAACGGACUUGCGACCCUUUCAAAGUGUACGAAUUUUCUCUGGACAGUUAUAAUAUCUUUUUAAUAACAUUUGUUCGAACACGUUCUAAAACGUUUCUUGUAGGUGUACCAAAAUUCGAGUUCUCGGUUCUAAAAUCGAACAACAUCUAUUUUCAAUUUCAUAUUACGAGCGUGCUAAAUAAAAUAUACAAGGAUAUAAUACAAAUAUACAAGAAAAUUACUCUACAAUUGUAUACUUUGCUACUAUGUCAUGAUUAGGGUACGGAUGUAAAUGCACUUAAAAUUCACAAAAAAAAAAAAAUUUAAAAACGACAAAAAAGCUCUAAAAUAUCACUUAAAAAAUAUUCAAAAAAUCUAUAAAGGUAUAGGAGUUUAAAAGUAUUCCCCUCUAUUGUUUAUAAUUUAUUAAGAAUAAUUAAAAAAUAAUUAUUUCAAAGUAAUUUUUUUUCAAAUAUAUUUGUACAUGUUACAAAGAAUAAAAUGUUUUAUGUCAAUCAUUUGUCAGUGUUAGAAAAAUGUAUUUAAUUGUGUGAGAACUGUCAGAACGGGGACACUAAAACUCGUCUCCUAGUUUUUUUUUUUUUAAAUAUUGUUAAGCGCUUUUUUACGAAUUUUAAAUACAUAUAAUUUCGUGCGCCCUAGUUAUUAUCAUUUGGCACUCAUCUAAAUUAUUUGCAACGUUUAUGAAUAAUAAAUUAUCGCUUAAGUAUUGGAAAAUUAAAUUGAAAACGGUGACUGACUUGACCUAAAAAAAAACCUAACCGUGGCUAAAGUCAAGUUUUUAUUUUAUAUAAAUAAAAAAAAAACGCUACAAGUCGAACCAAAUAAUUUCCAGUCGGUUAUAAAUUAAGAAGGACGUGGGGGAAGUGGAGUAGUCUGUUUAUUUUUUAAUUAGACGGCAACGGUAAUUCCAUAAUACGACGCAGCUUUGAGACUAUUAUCGAAUGUUGAGUAACGUUCAGUGAAAUAAUGAUUUCAUGUGGAUAUUAUCGGUUAGGUACUGGUUAAAAAAAAAAAAAAACGUAUACCACGUAGCUGUAGAGAAGUUUUGCUUUGCUGAAAACUUUGAAUUUACUGAAAUAUUCGUCGAACAGUACGUCAAUUUUUCUAAUCGAUUUUCUUUGUUAUUUUCUAAAAACAUAAUCCAAUAUCGUAGACGCGCAGAGAUUCCUAAGCGAUUUUUAAUUUCCUUAGUAUUUUGAAUAUUUUUCGGAUUUAUUUAUAGCCAUUUGAAAUAUUCGAGUUUUCGUGUCAAUGUGCUUUUAUGUGAAAACGAUUUUUUUUUUUUUAAUCGUUUUUAAAUUCUCGAAAAUAUGAUACACGUAAUCCGAUGACGUCGUAAGUCGUUACUGGUGGUCAAAGAAAUUGCAAUCUUACGACAUUUUUUAUUUUUUUUUUUUUCUUCUGUACACGGAAACAAUUCAUAGUCAAACGAAUGACGUGCACGCCGGAAUUCGGACGAACGAACCCGGAAAACGCAAUGCACAGUUACGUAAACAAAUAGGACGUGGACGAAAUAAAUGCCGUCGCGGUGAAAGUGGCGGUGCCGGAGACCCGGGGAAAACGCCGGCGACCGGAAAGAUCGCAUUGCAGUAUAAAUGCAAAGAGACAUUGCUGCUGCACGGAAAAUGAGAAACCGCAUUUAAAACAAACCUCGGACCGUAGUAGAAAUAAUAAUAAAACGCGAAUGGAAGACGAAUGAUUUUCGAUGCAUUUGGACGAUCGUUGAAAGUUUAAACGACGAUUUUAAAGGUCAACAGCGACAUUUCGUUUUCUCCGUCCGUGUCCCGCAUGCAUAUAGUAGGCACUAUACGCACUUUUACGGUUACUAUUGUCUGGUCGGGUCUGUGACAAAGAAAAAUAUUCGAUCGAAAGUUUUUUUUUUUUUUUUUGAUAUUUUAAUUUAUUAUUAUUAUUAUUAUUGUUAUUUUUUCUAUCAAUAUAUAAUUGAGUUUCAAUAAUUUACCCUUAGCAGCCGUUAAAAACUUGUUAAGAAAUUAAAUGAUUAAUAAGAAAAAAAAAAAAAAAACAAUUUUCGGUUCAGAGCGCAAUAAAUAAUGUUUUUUUUUUUUAAUAAACUGUUUAUAAUUCGAUCCUUUUACCGUAAACUCGACCCCGGAGAGUCGUGGAAGUGUGCUAGACGCCUUUGUUGUCGUGUUACGCGCGAGACGGACGGGGAAAACGUAAUAAUAUUUUUACGUCGGCCUCUUAAAAAAAAAAAAAAAAACUAAAAAAAAACGUUUCGGAUCUCCGCGACAAAGAGGUCCGCGCGUAGUCGGCCGCGGAACGAGAUAAUCGUAAUAAUAUUGCAGUUGUUUUUCGCGCCGAACCCCCCGGACGGCCGCAAACGAUUGUUAACACGCGGUAUACAAUAUCGGUUUUGUUGUUGUGCAGGUAUGCGGUAACCGUAUUAGAAACACGGAAAAAAACAACAAACCGCGUAAACUCCGCGCCGCCGGUGUGUACGUUCGCGGGGGAGAGCGCCCGGGAUUCGGGUUGUAAUUAAUUUUAAAGCCGCGCGGUUUUCGAUUAGUUUUAAGCCGAUUUGUAUUUCGCUUUGGAACGUUCAAUACUAAACACGACGCAGCGCAUUCCGCGCCGCUCGCAAUUAUUGCGCGGAUUAAAUGCGCGCCGCCGUCUUCGGGAAUAGCAAAACAUUAUAAUAACAAUAAAAAUAAUAAUAAAUAAUAGUAACAACAGUGACAAUAGUAAUAAUCGUGUAAUAAUUAAUAAACGUGUAGUGUUCUCGUUGCUGCUGCUGCUGCCGCCGCCCCGUGCACCGUACAACGCGUCCGUAAACGGCCACGCGCGACCGUCGGGAAAUCUGUGGAGGGGGGGGGAGGGGCGGGAUAUUAAUUUACGGACGUGUGCCGCGGCGUAUCUGGCGCACAAUCCCCGACCGUAAUGAAACGUACGCGCGUUUACGUUGUUCACGUGUUGCGCGGAUGUGGAGCGGGCGCCCACCCGGUGUACCCGCCGUCGUCGCCGUAGCGCGUUAAUCCCGGUGCCGGACGGUCGUCACGGCGUUGCUGUCGCGACAGCGGCCGUCGCUCGCACGCCGUGCUAGCGGAACGAGUGAGGCCCCCAGGCGGGACAGCGACGGAUGGGAUUUCCGGCGCGAACGGUCGCGGUGUGCGACACUGCCGCGCAACCGGAUUGGCGGACACAAUACGCGUAACGCGGUCUCUUCAAUCGUAUUUAAUUCAAUAUCGCACCCGUUUUUCCGGGUUUUCCGUAUUGAGGGAACGGUUUUUCGGUUUUAAGAAAAUCAAAAAUAAAACGACCUCUUCAUGGUGCCGUCCUCGGAGCGAAUCCCUUGCGGAAAAAAGUGCCGUCGUUGAAAAUCGAAGUGAAAUUUCCGGUAGAAAAGUUGUCAACGGAGAAAAACAAAAAAAUGAAAAUAAAUCGACAUUAUUGUAAAACCAACGCAUUCCUCGCUUCGCUUAGAAUCCGAAAUACUAUCCGCCUAUUAUUUCGAUAGGUUUAUUUACGAAAUACAAAUAGUCGACGUCGUGGUACGGCACUAAAUUGCGAAUUUCAAUACGACCUUUUAUUGUUUUCAGAAAAUAUGAACCAUUUUUUAAUAUCAUUUUCGCGAUUUUUUAAAAUCAAAGUCGUUCGCGUUCGUCCGAUAACCGAACACGUCCGUGGGUCGUUCAGGAAAUACCGAACGCGUUCCCACCGACCCUCGAUUGCCGUAUACGCGUUCACGCGGUAAAAGUGACCGUCGACGAUCGAUUAUAACGCGCGCCUGUGACAGUAAUGUUAGAGUUGCUUUCGCGACAGUUCAACAAUCACUAUCUAUCUGCCUGAACGGCGGUUGUACGCAGCGUGACAACUGUGUAGUGGACCAGGCUUUUCGCGCGAAAACCGAGGGGAUCGUGGCGGGUUUUACAUUCGCGAGAGUUUCGCACCUAUUUGAUUAUUUAACAUCGUACAUUAAACAUUACCGACAAAUAUUGACAACGACAAACGUGUAUUUUAUCUAUGUCGUAUAAGUUGUGAGAAAUGAAAGUGCGCAUAUUAUUUUGGUCGGAGCCAAAAUUCUUCUUUUGUACUCUCGACGUGUUAAAUGUCGGUCCAGAACAUAUCCGUAGUAGGAAUAUCGCUUUUCAAACUCGGCCGUUAUAGACGUCGAGAGGGAAAUUUCUCGUAAUACUAUAACGAUAACGACGUAUUCGAAAAGUACGAUAAAUUGAAAACCGUCGAAUGUACCGGCCAUAGUUAUAUUUCAAUAAUAUUUUAUAACGAUUAUAUUUGUAUUUGUUCAAUAUUUUACUACAUUAUUAUAUUUUCGAAUCGAAGCAAACAAAUUUGUUCGGGGCUUUAGCCUCCCCCGUUCCUUCCAGAUUCUUUACCUCAAUUGCGCCUUCGGGUACAGUGUACAUUUGCACGGUAUUAAGUGGAAAAAAUCGACAAAAAAAAAAAAAAAAAACAAACACGGUCGAAAAUGUGUUUUACAAUAAAUAAUAAACCGAAUGCACGUUAAAAGCAACGACAAUUCACGUUCCUCGUAUACGCGCUUUUUUGUUCCGAGAGCAAGCGAUUUUCUCCUAAGAUAGGGCGCUAUAUACGUGUGUUCCUUUCCGACGCAGCGAAUUUCCCGUCGCGACACGACAAGCUUCUCCGAAAACCGCCACCGCGGUCGUUCCCGUUGCCGGGCUCUGCUGAUCUUGUCUCGGGGUCGAUUAGCCCCGCAAUAGUAUCAGUGGCAGCCGUUUAGAAAGAAACCCCCGGCGACGUCUCGGAGAAAACAAUAACAAUAAUAAUAAUAAUAAUAUCCGCGGGAAUUACUUUUGAAACCGGGUUCGUUCGGUCGUGGUGAAUUUCGCCGCCGCCCGACGUUCGUUCCGGUAAGCCCCGACGCGCGCAAGCGGUAAGAAAAGCCGAAUAUGCUACUAGCGGGGUUAGGAGGGGGGGGAGGAGUUUGGAGAUCAAAAGAUUUAGCGCCGACUACAGUAGACUUUAGCCGAGAACGGGUUCGCCCGGUUUUUCGGUUUAAAAAUUUAUAUUCGAGCGUUGAAUCCUAUUUCGUUGCGGGCUAUAAACGUUACUGUCGACGCAAAAAUAAUGAUUAUCAUAAGUAUUCUAAUAGUAAUUCAACUGAUGCAAUUGAACCAUAUGAAUUCUAAUUCAACAAACACAAAAUUAAUUAAAUUACGUUUAAAAUUUGUCGUCAAGUGAAAAUCGUGCGGUGAAACCAAAUGGAUUGAUUUAUUCUCAUCGAAAUUUAGAUUCAAAGUACAGCGAGGAAGAUAAUAUUUUCGUUUAGCUAAAAUGCAGUUCUUUUCCGUUGGAAAACGGUUUUUCGGUCAGAAAAAUUGUUCCGGAUUGUUCACGUAUCAUUAUUUAAAACAUUCGUAUUUUUCGGUCGGUGGUGCUUUAUCCGAAACAUUUUACUCUCGAUCCCUAAAAGUUUUCUAAAAAAAAAAAAAAAUUAAAAAAACUCAUAACGAAUUUAAUUAAGUCGAUUUUCGCGAUACAAAUACAAGCGUAGGUCAGAUUGUUCUUAAAAUAAAAAUUCUAGGACAUUUAACGUUCUGCCAUUUAUUUUAUUAUUUAAGAAAACAGCUAUAAUGUGGUUAAUGAAAAAUUUACGAGACUGGGUAUACAUUAUUAAUGAUAGUAAACGAAAGCAUCUGACGUUUAAUGUAAAAUUAUUUAUUUUAAGAAAUCAUUCGGCAAAAAAUUUGUGGACUAUCUUGCACCAAUCUAGUACGAGUGUAUUGCCCUCGAAUUUAAAAACAAACGUUUGUUUAAAGAAGAUGUUUAAUGUUAAAAAAACAUGUUGAAAUUAUUAUUUUAAACCUGUGUCUAAUAACUACGUAUAAUGCAUAACUAUUAAACUUAAUAAUCAAAAAGCAAAUCUUUUUUUCUUCUUCUAUUCUAUCAAAUUGUUUACACAUUUUUUUUUUUCUUAUUGAUAUAGUAGUUAAUGUGUAAUUUUUUUUUUUAAAUGCGAUAUAAUUAUGUAAUCUUUUUGUAACCCUCUGCCUUCACCACAAGCUCCCGCUUACAGAAGCCUUAAUUGUGCUUUGUUGAACUGUAACUCUAAUUAAAUAAAAUACAAUUUAAAUAUUAAAUAAAAAAAAAAAAGGCGAAAAAACCUGUUCUAGGACAUUGCUUUUUUUUUUUUGUAUCGCAAUUAUUCAUCAAGAAUUUCAGUACACAAAUUAAAUUACCUUAUAACAUCUCAUCCCUCCCGAAUCCUCCACCUUCAACAGUGACCUACUCGCGGCACGAAAUAUGUCCGGAAUUUCUUUCGGUUUUCUUUGUUCGGUGCAAAUAACUCGAGUAAUAUUAAUUUUGUUCCGAGUUGUUUAAUAUUUAAUGGGCAAGAUUUGAAAAAUUCUCGGAAAAAAUAUUAUAGGUAAGUACAAUAUAUAUAUAUUACAUAUAUACGUAUAAUAAACCGAUCGUAUAUCUCGGAACGGUUUUUCAAAGGUGCGGCCGAUGAUUUAUUAUCGCUAAAAAAUUUACGAUAUUAUAAUACGAAACACCGGAUUUAAUAAUAUUGUGCCCGUAAUUUAUUUUUAUUUUUUUUAAUUGCUCGCAGGCUCAUUAAAACGACGGUUUAAAUAAUAACCGUACAUUUUUCAUCGCGUACAAGAGUAGAUUACCGCAUUUUGUUUUUUUUUUUUGUUUUUUACCUUUUGAAAAAAUACGCUCGUCCAUAAAUUAAAAUUCAAUAGAACGCCGAACGAAAAUUCGCUUUCGAUCGAUAAUAAGUACCGUGGAUCGACACAAACGCGGUGAACGUUUCCGGCAAAUCGACUACACGAAAACUAUACACGGCGAAUUGUUUCUCACUAUUUAUCAGUUUUUGAUUCGAAACAUCUAUAGUACAAUUCGUAUGCAACAAACCAUAGUAGUCGUUGUCCGGCAUAAUAGUCACUGUUGUUUUUAUCGUAAACUAAUUGAUAACAUUUGACCACAGCUAUAGGUAUUUAUGGUGUUUUCGGUCUAUAAACCCUCUACAAUUCACAGCAAUCGUUGCGCGAUAACCGCAGCAGUCGACGGAAUCGGCUGGUUUUUACGCGGUUCGCAACCGAGUUAAACGUUUUUAACGAUCGUUUGUUGUAGGAAAAAUAAGCGGUUUUGGAUUCCGAGUGUAGCGGAGAAGUUUUAUAAAUAUGUAAUUUAUUUCUUUCUCGGAAAAUACUUUUUCGUUUAGUAAAUGUGCUUCGAAGUGUUUGCACCGUACAGAUGCGGAUUUUUCAUUCGGCGGUAUGUACUUUAUUUGAAUCGUUAUUCCAGAUUCUCGGCAGUUUUUCGAAAAUACUGACAACGAAUGACGGUACAUGGGUUUCUUUUUUUUUUUCUUUUUUUUUUUCGAUUUCCGGUAAACGUCGGUUACAAGACGUUAAAAACCGAUAGUCUAAUUAUAAUUAUAUUAACGUUACUCGCAAACACCCGAGACCUGCGGUUUGUUUUGGAUUUUUAAACAUUUUUUUUUCGCAUUUCUAACAUUGAACUUCGAAAUUGACGUUCCGUUAAAUUUUUACAACCGAAAGCUUUUUUUUUCCGGUGACUUGUUCAACAAUAUUAUUUCCUUGUACUUCCCCGCUUAUAAGUGACCUUUUUAGGUUAACGCUAUACGCCAUAUUAAAUCCACCCUGCACCCACCCGUCGUUUUGGCCCCGAAGCGAUCGCUAUUAGGUACUUUGCUUCGCAUAAUCCCCUGUUCCUCGCCAGCGAACGCGAUUGGCCUUUGGUGGGAUAACGGUGUGAAUAUGUGCUGUAGUAUGCUAAUUUUGUGAUUAACGUUCGAGUUUGCACACCAAAGUCGUGUACCGAUUAUUAACAGAACACCGUGUCGCGUAGGUACACGAAUCACAAUGCGACGACUGCAAUGGCGACGGUUACUAAUCCAUUCGUUUGUCCGCACAAACAUCGGUCGGACCGCGUUGUACAUCACGCGAAUAAACACGGCGACUAUUGUCGAGCUUAUAGGCACUCGGAUAAUUGAACCGUCGACAAUUUUGGUUUGGACAAAACUAUCUGGUCGUAUAGAUACACGGCACGUAAACAAGACUCAUAAAUCGACAUUGAUCAAACUGACCUAAAACAGGAUCUGGGGGGUGAACACCAUAAUUUAUCGAUUAAUCGUUACGAAUAAAACACCGCCGGCCGGAAUUUUUUUUAACUUUUUGAUACACCGCGUGAAAAUAUCGCAGCAUUUUUACCGACCGUAAAGCGUUUUGCGAGAUAAACAAAACCAUAGGAAUUAGGAAGGCCGAAAUGUGUCUCCCCGGUCCGAUUUCAUUCAGAUUAAGUGCUAUCAUUGUGUGGCUGAAAAGUUGCCCACAGAUAAGGAAAAAAACGUG
rnacentral:lncRNA from 1 species